CUGAGGUGUGGGAGAUCUAGAGAGGGACAGAGAGUAGGGAGUAGUGAUCACUGCUGAGGUGUGGGAGAUCUAGAGAGGGACAGAGAGUAGGGAGUAGUGAUCACUGCUGAGGUGUGGGAGAUCUAGAGAGGGACAGAGAGUAGGGAGUAGUGAUCACUGCUGAGGUGUGGGAGAUCUAGAGAGGGACAGAGAGUAGGGAGUAGUGAUCACUGCUGAGGUGUGGGAGAUCUAGAGAGGGACAGAGAGUAGGGAGUAGUGAUCACUGCUGAGGUGUGGGAGAUCUAGAGAGGGACAGAGAGUAGGGAGUAGUGAUCACUGCUGAGGUGUGGGAGAUCUAGAGAGGGACAGAGAGUAGGGAGUAGUGAUCACUGCUGAGGUGUGGGAGAUCUAGAGAGGGACAGAGAGUAGGGAGUAGUGAUCACUGCUGAGGUGUGGGAGAUCUAGAGAGGGACAGAGAGUAGGGAGUAGUGAUCACUGCUGAGGUGUGGGAGAUCUAGAGAGGGACAGAGAGUAGGGAGUAGUGAUCACUGCUGAGGUGUGGGAGAUCUAGAGAGGGACAGAGAGUAGGGAGUAGUGAUCACUGCUGAGGUGUGGGAGAUCUAGAGAGGGACAGAGAGUAGGGAGUAGUGAUCACUGCUGAGGUGUGGGAGAUCUAGAGAGGGACAGAGAGUAGGGAGUAGUGAUCACUGCUGAGGUGUGGGAGAUCUAGAGAGGGACAGAGAGUAGGGAGUAGUGAUCACUGCUGAGGUGUGGGAGAUCUAGAGAGGGACAGAGAGUAGGGAGUAGUGAUCACUGCUGAGGUGUGGGAGAUCUAGAGAGGGACAGAGAGUAGGGAGUAGUGAUCACUGCUGAGGU